rnacentral:rRNA from 1 species
AGCGAACGCUGGCGGCAGGCUUAACACAUGCAAGUCGAGCGGGCAUAGCAAUAUGUCAGCGGCAGACGGGUGAGUAACGCGUGGGAACGUACCUUUUGGUUCGGAACAACACAGGGAAACUUGUGCUAAUACCGGAUAAGCCCUUACGGGGAAAGAUUUAUCGCCGAAAGAUCGGCCCGCGUCUGAUUAGCUAGUUGGUGAGGUAAUGGCUCACCAAGGCGACGAUCAGUAGCUGGUCUGAGAGGAUGAUCAGCCACAUUGGGACUGAGACACGGCCCAAACUCCUACGGGAGGCAGCAGUGGGGAAUAUUGGACAAUGGGCGCAAGCCUGAGCCAGCCAUGCCGCGUGAGUGAUGAAGGCCCUAGGGUUGUAAAGCUCUUUUGUGCGGGAAGAUAAUGACGGGACCGCAAGAAUAAGCCCCGGCUAACUUCGUGCCAGCCGCCGCAGUAA